ensembl:lncRNA
UGGGCCUCCAGCUCUCCAGGCCCAUUUCUGGGGUUUCUCUUACAAAAGCAUUUCUUAGCAUUUUCCCAGCUUCCCCAGCUUCCUUCAAGUCCCAGCUAACCUAAAGCAAUCCAAAGUCUACCCUACAACCACAGAGAAGGGGGGGAGGGCGCCGCAGGAGAAGAGGGGAUGACACCAGCAUAAGUCAGAGCAGGAAGGACCUGAGGGUGGUACCAUAUAAGGAUUCUUUCUUUCUUUCUUUCUUUCUUUCUUUCUUUCUUUCUUUCUUUCUUUCUUUCUUUCUUUCUUUCUUUCUUUCUUUCUUUCUUUCUUUCUUUCUUUCUUUCUUUCUUUCUUUCUUUCUUUCUUUCUUUCUUUCUUUCUUUCUUUCUUUCUUUCUUUCUUUCUUUCUUUCUCUUUACCCUUCUUCUGUCAAAUGAGAUAGCUGAAAUUAGAAGAUGUCCAUGGUCCUCUUUUACUCUAAUCUCAAAGAAAUUGGUUUUUUAAAACCCUUACCUUAUAUCUUAGAAUCGGUGCUACAUAUUUUAGUUCCAAGGCAGAAGAAUGAUAAAGGGUAGGCAAUUGGAGUUGUGACUUGUCCAGGGUAAUACUACUAGGAAAUGUCUAAGGCCAUAUUUGAACCUAGGACCUCCUGUUUCCAGUCCUGGCUCUCUAUCCAUUGUGCUACCUAGCUGCUCCCUUCAUCAUUUUCUUAGGUCAAUCAACAAAAUCAAUCAAUCCUGCAAAUGUUCACAUUGAAAUUUUAGCAAAUGGCUCUUCAGCGCCAGUUUAAACUGGCUCUACAGUACUCCUGGUGGUGGCCACCUGAGUUGAGGGAAGGUUGUGGAGGUAGAAUGGAGGAGACUUUAUAGUGGGAGAUGGGAGCCAGAGAGAAUGAAGGCUUGAAAAUGACACUGAGGUUGUGAGUCACUAGAAGGAAGAAUGGUGUUGCCUGAACACAAACAAGGAAAUCUGAAAAGGAGGGGCUAGUUUAAUCCUUCUCUUCUUCCUCCUCCUCCUCCUCUCCCCCUCCUCUUCUCUUUCUUCUCCUCUCUCUUUCCUCUUCCUCCUUCCCUCUCACUCUUCUUUUCCCUCUUCAUAACUAUCAAUCAACAAGCUUUUAUUAAAUGCCUACUAUGUGCCUGUAUAGAGGCAACCUGGGAGCCAGGAAGAUCUGAGUUCGACUGGAAGAUCUGAUUUCAAAGCCUGCCUAGGACAUGUACCACCUAUGUGAUUUUAGAAAAGUCAGGUAGCCUCUCAGGGUGGCACAGAAGAUACCAGCUGACAUUGGGGGGGUUGUUUAUAUGUCUUAUCGCUUAGCCAGGCAUCCUGUGUCUGGGUGGGGUGGGAAUUGUGUGAUUAUCCUAAAAUCCAAAGUUUAAGACCAUCAAAAACUCCCUACAAUGAUGAAAACCAUAGAUUUGGCUCAAAAACGGUUGCCACGUGCUAGGCACUUGGGGAUCCAGAGAUAAAAAUUAAACAGACUCUGCCUUCAAGAUGUUUCUGUUCUACUGGAAGCUUCCAGGCUUCUCCUUGCCUUUAGAAAGAAUUUUUUCAUCACUGAGGUUGUCAUCAUUCUUAUUAUGCCUGAUCAUAUCAAGUCAAUAAACAUUUAUUGAGCCCUUAAUAUGUUUCA